CCAUGGCUGGGGGUGGGUGGGAGAUAAAAGAGACGGCUGGACUGACAGCUGCAAAAACAAAGAUCCCCUUGCAUCAGAUUCAGCACAACUUCCCCGCUUUUCUAGCACCCUGACAAAAUCCUGACACAUCUGGGAAGCUGUCAAAGCCGACACGUAUCUUCUUUGCCCGUGGGCUCUGGACGAUGACCAACGGCGGAGUUCCUCUCACCACAAACGUCCGCGAGCAGGCACCGACCCCUCCAGAUGGCCCAGCCCCGGUCUCCAGCCCCCUUCUGGCACCUGGGCUCGGCACAAUCGGAGCAGUUAGAUGUCGCUGCCGGGCAGGACACGGAGACACGGCCCUGCUGCAACUUCCUCGUCUUCCGUAUGAGCCACUCAGCACAACCUGUAAAUAAACAACUCCCAAGAGCACAGCUGAGUUCUUUUUUUAAACCUCCAUGAGAACCACUGUAUCACAGUGGAGGAAUUAUAAGGCAAUAAACUGAAGAACGUGCAAAGAAUACAAGGGGAAAUCUACAAACAAUUUGACUAAAUAUGACUAAAGUGAACGCAUUAAAAACCACCUUAGGAUAAAAAGGAAACGUACUUUUGGAAUUGGCAUGUCAUUAUAUGGAAAUAUAUGCUGUUAUAGGGAAUUGUCAAAAACAAUGUGGCAAACGUAAGCACACUUAAUACACGUGCAUUUUCUGCACCAGGAAACACUCAGAUGUCAAUUCAAAGAAUUGCAAAAUGGUUUGGGGUUUUCUAUAUCAACUCCGUCGCAGGAGGGUGCUGAAAGAGGCAGCAGUAACGUUGGGCGUGCCCAGUGCAGCGGGUUUGGAUGGCCUGCAUCCAUCCAGGUGUUGCAGAAAACAGGGCAAAGUGAUUCCAGAACAAUAAACACUUAUUUCCAUUAGCCCUUAAAAACGCUUAAGGGGUUUUCCCGAAACAGGAAGAAAGGCAAUUUAACAAAAAAUUUCAAGCACGUAACGGCAAGAAAUAGCUAAUUACAAACUUGCCAGAUGAGCACACCACGCUUACUCAAACUAUCACAGCUGCCAAUACUGAAUCCAAAUAAUUAAAAAGGAGGUAAUAUAAUAAAUGCUGAAUGAAUAAGGCUUUAUAAAAAUGACUUCCUGUCAAACUCUUUUUGAGAAAUAUAACACACUUAGUUGUAAAAGCCCUCUAAAACCUUUUAUUUUCUAGAACAUGAAAUAAUUAAAAAUAAGGCAAAUGCAGUAUCGACCUAUGCAGAGUAGCAUGAGAACUGCCUAGCUGAAGCCUCACAGCACAGCAGCACAGGGAAAUCACUGCUGAGUGGGUGCGACCCUGUGGGACCUUCCCAACCCAUCAUGGGCUAUGCACCUGAAUGCCUCUAUCAGUGAUCUGAACAAUAACAUAAGUUGCAGAUAAAUGUCACAGAUAAAGAGAGAGUGUGUGUGUAUGUGUUUUUAUAACUUGCUACAAUCUUCAUUAUAGAUCUAUGGUAAAACAGAGUCCUCCUCAGUAGAAUCCUGUUUAUAAUAUGAAGCCUUGAGAAAACACUUUGCACCUCUGACCUGUGCAAAAGGAUCCCCACCCCCAUCCAUCGCACUUUUGCUGAAUGUCAUUUUGGCUGAUGAAAACAAGGUACAGCAAAGUGGUGCCUAACGCACCACAGGUUGCAGGAAGGAUGGGAUUUCACGGGUGCUCUCCUCUGCCCUGUGUGCAGUGCCAGCCUGCCUCCGUCGCACCUUCCUGCACACAUCCUGGCUGUUGCUUGGGCCUGGAGGACCCUCCUGCUAUCUACUGUGGUGCUCCAGGAGGCUGGCAGCUGACGAUGGCUGGUCACUUAGCCAGGAGGAACUUAGCACACAGCUACUGCUCAUGCUCUAGCACAUUCAGCCUAUAAACCUCUCCUCAAACAAUGCUCAAGUCUCACAAGAAGCCUGAAGCAAGCAGGUUUUUCGCCUUUGCUCACAACAUCUUAGUUACGUAAGGUAGUUUCUUCUUCCUCUUUCUUACAGACAGUUAUAAGAACUACGGAAAAGUACAGAUAACAUGCUAUUUUUGUUUAAUAACUUGCUUGUUUUUCUGAAAGUGUGCCAGUAUUUUCCAGCCAAAGGUAGGGUUUUUUUUUCCUCUUCCACUAAAUGUGUUUUAUAUACCUUUAACUGUUUAAAUUCCCUAUCAGAUCCAAGAAUAAUGUUUUGUUCUUUUCCUUCUACGACUGUAAAGGAGACUUAGACACGCAUCUCUGAAACAAACACAACCAUCCUUCAGAAUAAGGAAAAACACAGAAUUCUGCAAAGUUUUUGCUCAUUCCAGCCCAUUUCAAGACCAAUUGUACCACUGGCCUCGUGGAGGAUGAAAGCUGUCAGGACUCAGGUCUAACCUGCCUAUAGCCCAGCUGGAGAUUCCUCCAUCCGCAACUGGUUUUUGAUCCAUUUCUUUAUCAGGAUAAGAUCCCAGAUCCCAGUCGGUACCGCACAGGCACGAGCAGCACGCCCGCAGGGUCUGCAACAGGCGCCGCUCUCGCCGCACGCAGCUCUCCGCUCCAUUGGCAGAAGGCUAACGUCUGCCUGGUUUCAGGACUUCAGGAAUAUCCCGGGUACCUACAGGCAGAAAAUGCUGAAGCCUGCUGAUUCGUGUUCUUGCAAGCCAGUAACAGCGCUAAAUAAAAGACGAGGCUGUGUAUGCCUCUGUCUCAGAGCUAUGGUAUCUACUAUGUUGUCAGUCCUGUAAGUACUUCCCAGAUUUCUCUUCCGUUCAGUUCCUUGCUAGUAACUUCUCAGACAGACGUAGUAACUCCUUUCACUGCUGCAAAACACUCUUGCCCAAGGAUCUUGAAAAUGCCUGGAUGGUUUCCACAUCAGGAUACCAGAACUACGUACAACUCCUUCAGCUUCCUAGUUACAGCCUGUUACUUACUGCAUUGUAUUUAGCUGUCUCUGGGAAUUCAUUUACAAGGUCAAAUGCUCAGACCUCUUCAACAUAAUAUAAAUCAUUCCUCUGCACUGUGGUUAGUCUGUAUUACGCAGCAUGAACACAUUAAUAAAAGGAGAAAAUUAGGCAAUUAGCAGGUCUUCAGCAUAAACGUGUCACACUUUCUGAAACAUAUUUAAAUAAAACAGUGUUGCUUUAUAGCAUUGAAAACUCAGCACCACUUCCACUGCAAAUGGCCAGACCUCAGAAAAAUCAGCUGGGGGUAACAGGGGACAACCACACUUGCAAAAGAGGGUUGACACCUGUUUUCUCUUUUUCUGCUUACACAAUAAAAGCUACUGUUUUAAUGAGGGCUAAACCUUCCCUAUUACCUUGAUUUUAAUAAUUUACAGGUAUUCUUCUGUAGACUUGUUUUUGUCAGAUCCUGUUUCUCAGGUAGGCCCCCUGAAAAGAAAACAUGUGGGUUUUGUACCAGCUCACUCAGGAAUAGCGGAAUGGUAGCUGGGAGAGCAAGGAGCAAGCUCCCCUGUAGCGACAGCCCUUCACUGCACCAAGCCAAGCUGCUCCACGCUUUACCAUGUGGCAAGUGUAGGGCAGACCGAGCUGACCCUUUACAGGGGCGAAUGGAGAAGGGGCUGGCAGCCAGCCCUGCAUCCUAGAGGGGGGAAGUUCCCAGUUACUGAUAUAAUGUAUCUUUACAUCCGCUUUAUGCACAUGGAGUGAAAUCUCCACUCCAGACAACAUCAAAAUUACCCAACGACCUCAAGUAAAAUCACAGCUCGCUGAAGUGAUUCAAUGAAAGCUGAGAAUCUGGGCCAAAACCUCUACUUCAGAAAGCAGGCUGCCUCCAGGCAGGGGGGUUUCUGAGCACCCCCGAGCUGGGAGAAGCACAUGGGAAACCUGUGGCUGUUAAAGCGGUGGCCUGAGCUGGCACCAGGCUCCCCUGCCCAUCCCAGGGAACCAGAGAUGCAUGUUCUGCUGUUCAUCCCCCUGCGGUCCCCCAUCUGGUCUCCCGCUCCUGCGUGUGAGCUGGCUGACAGCAGGAGAGGCAGCUACCGGGCAGCGCAGAAAGGAUGCCUCUUCCAAAAUACUUGGCUUCCAAGAAGUAUUUCAGAAAUGAUUCAGCUGAAAAAUAUUGCUAACGUCUGAUCUGGAAACUUAACAGACUGCUUUGGACAACAAAUGCCAGUGUAUCCCUUCUUGUUAUGACGACCCCUUUCUAAGCCCAUCAUUUAAUUGCUGAUGAGAACCACGAACAGAAAACAAUCAACUGUAUUUUGAUAGAAAUAUAAGUGCGUCUGUACUACACACUCAUUUCAUUUGCUUCGUGCUCGUAACAAAGCUUGACUAUACAGUGGGCUGUGCAGCUGAACAGAGAUGACUCACUCCUGCAGCUGGCACGAACUACCCAGGCCUCCUGUUUGUUUGUGCAGAUCUGUGGUAGAAGUGGGUAAGUAGGUGAAGACAACGAACAGUGACAUCCCACCACCUCCAAACCUUGCUCAUACCACAACAGCCCCUCUCUACCAGAACUUAGCUCUUGAUCGUCUGCCUGAAGCACAAGCCCUGGUUAAAAGCGCACAGCAGUGCCCCGGAGACAAACACGCAGAGCGCGAUCACUGCAUCCUGUCCUCUCUCUGAAGAGCGUUUGGUGUCACAGAGGAUGCUGAACUGCACCUGAGACUUCAGUGGGUGGGAUAAAACUUUUUUUCACAUCACUGUCCUUCCCCCGCCAAAGCAUUUCAAAGAUCAAGCGAUAUCCACAAAACCUGAGAGUUUGGAGUCUCCGCCACAAGGUGUUGCUUUACCUGAGUGUGUUAGUCUCACUUGUUAGAUGAUAGCCCAAAAAGAGCGGCAUGACAGAGCAAAGCAAACCAGUGGAACUAAAUCCAAAAGACAUAAUACUUCUUACGGUUUCAGAAAUUCUGAACAACCACAGUAUGCUAAAAUAUUUUUUAAAUGUUUCCUUUAGCUUCUCCACACACCCCCCCUUAAUAAAAUUUGUCUUAGCUAACUUUAAAACUAUUAUAAAAACUUUCUUCCUUGAAGGGUGGCUGUCUGGGUGUCACACAACAUCAGAAGUAAAGCCAUCUGGUAUGCCUGUUACUGCCAUCUUCAGAUCAAAGGUUAAAAGCAGAACUGAAGACCUUUUACUCACAUUUAUCUUUUAAGUCCAGUCAUUUCUCUACAGACCUUUCCUCUCUCAUCCUCAUUUAACUCCCAAAUGCAGGAAACAAGUACUACUACUCACAGACUAAAUCGACCAUGCCCUUGUCCAGGGAGUGCCUGAAAAGGUUUGAACGCGUCCUCACCCCCCUCUGGAGAACAUCUAGCCUCUCUAGCACAUUAUCUUAGGAGCUUUUACAGUUCAUCUGUUACACAUUUGACAGUUAGCACUUGCUAUAAACCAAGCUUUGCGAGUAUAAAGCAUAAUCCCAGUAUCAGUAAUAAAAUCCUCAAAGAACAACUACGAGCAAUUAGCCUGAAGAAAAGAGAAAGGAGCACCAGCCAACCUCUGAAGCUAAGCUGCCUGUUGCAAGUUCUGGAUGGAAAGAGUGCUCCGCAAAACUUUUAAAAGAGAUGCAUUUACAAUAUACCAAGUCAGCAAGUCAAAUUUUAAGUGAGCCAGUGCGAUGUGCAAAACAUUUGCUAAAUAAUGCAGCAUUCAGGACCUCAGCACUCGCUGGUCGAGUGCACACACAGAGGACUGGGACAGGAUGGUCCCAUGGCUAAAAUAAAGUCAAUAAUCAACCCUAAGAUAGAAACACAUCUACAUUUAUGGUAAGGUUAUAGUGAUUGGCUGUAGGAGCCACCAGGCAUCCAGCCAGUUUGCUUUUCCAGUCUAAGGAAAUGCUCCGUUUGUUUGAAAAAUUUUUUCCCCUGUGGUGAAGAAUGCAUUGACGUCAUCUAACUGGGUUUGCUGAACAAAAGCAUGGAUCCAGUGGUGCUCCAAGAAGCUGAAUUACAACAGGAAGGACAGGCAUCUGUUUUUAGAGUGGCAGGGGCUAUUCCUAAUUCUCCUUUAUCACUUUCUCCAGAGAACUGCUAGAGGGGACAAGUGACUUGCUACGAGUUUCGGUUUCCACCCUGUUUCAUUGCUAAUGUGGGUGUUCUUAGAUAAACACUAGCAUCUCUGGCUCCACAGGCCUCCGUAUCAGAUCACUAUUACUUCUAACAGGACCAUGCCAGAACUCCCUGAUCUGAUUUGAGGAGACACCAUGCAGCACCCUUACAAAAAAAGCCCACAGGAUAUUCAUAAACCUCUCCGAUCAUACGCUGCUUUCCCACUUCUGUGCUGUCGUAUCAGCUCCUCCACCCACAGAACAGGGGUGUUUGGGCCAAUACAGUGCCUUGCUACCACAUCAUCUGAAUCUGACCAAGAACCUUUCACUACACCGCUAACCCAGGUUAUUAUAAGUAGUAUCUUAGAAAGGGAGACGGGUAACCUCAAACUGUCAGAAUCUACCCAUAUCACACUGCAGCAAAACAGCCAUUAGUGACAGCAGGUACAGAUCAUUUCUGGUCUGCAAGACCAUAGAGGAAAGAGUACCAGCCGGUGGGUGGAGCAAGAUCACCAUUUCAGUGUUUCACAAAAGAUCUGGAAAACAAAGGGCAAAGCAUUCCACUGCAAAACUGUACUCAGCAAGAGCUGACGAUUUAAGGACUAAUGCCACCCCGACCAUUUCCCAACAGGGCUAUCUGAUGCUUGUGACAGUCACAAAGCGGAACACGUUUGAGCCACGGAUGAAGGAGGUGCAACAGAGCUGCGUGAGUAAUGGAUUACUCAGCCUAGAACUUGAACCAAAAGUCAAAACUAGGUUGUUCUGAACACAUAUGAGGGAGGGGAGAGGCAAAACAGAAAAGCAAAAUAAAACAAAAUGCAGAAAACAAGUGAAACAAAUUUACUCUAGUUUGGGCCUGAUAAUUAAGUGUUUGAGCUUUAUCCCCCCUUCCUUUAAACUUCAGGUUACUUACAAAACAUGAAUCACAUAACAAAAUGUUUAAUUUUAAAUAUCUCAAAACAUAUCUCCUAUAUUCUCUAUUUUCCUCCCUUUUCAGCCAAAUCAAGUUGUCCAAAAACAAUUUGUGUCCCCUAAUCCACAUUUUAGGGCAAACUUACCAUCUACUAAAAGACAGGGGAAUAGUCAACAUAUACAAGACAAGAAGAUGCAAAGCUAACAGGAGGACAAAUGUAGCGAGGAGUUCGUAACUCUUCUCAAAUUCAACCACUCCUGUAUUUAUUAUAUUAAGGUAUCCCAGUGUAAGUCUUCUGUGCAGCAAUAAUCUUCUAAUGUGUAUUGUAGGUCAAAGAAGAAUUUAGGUUUGAUGGAACCACUUUGGUUAAGUUACACUAUUCGUAAUUUAUAAUACUUACAUAAUUUGUAAAGUCAUAAUAUUGUGAUGGAGUCAGUUUGUCUCGGUGCAAGUAGGCUUCCGGAGAGGGAAGAAAAGGUGUGAUGCCAGUUAAGGCAUGAAUACAGAUUCCAGCUCAGCCACCCUCAAAGCCAGAACACUGUGGUUGUGCGUGUCCAAAAUAAUUUCUCUGGUG